rnacentral:rRNA from 1 species
GACGAACGCUGGCGGCGUGCUUAACACAUGCAAGUCGAACGGAAAGGCCCUGCUUUUGUGGGGUGCUCGAGUGGCGAACGGGUGAGUAACACGUGAGUAACCUGCCCUUGACUUUGGGAUAACUUCAGGAAACUGGGGCUAAUACCGGAUAGGAGCUCCUGCUGCAUGGUGGGGGUUGGAAAGUUUCGGCGGUUGGGGAUGGACUCGCGGCUUAUCAGCUUGUUGGUGGGGUAGUGGCUUACCAAGGCUUUGACGGGUAGCCGGCCUGAGAGGGUGACCGGCCACAUUGGGACUGAGAUACGGCCCAGACUCCUACGGGAGGCAGCAGUGGGGAAUAUUGCACAAUGGGCGGAAGCCUGAUGCAGCAACGCCGCGUGCGGGAUGACGGCCUUCGGGUUGUAAACCGCUUUCGCCCGUGACGAAGCGUGAGUGACGGUAAUGGGUAAAGAAGCACCGGCUAACUACGUGCCAGCAGCCGCGGUGAUACGUAGGGUGCGAGCGUUGUCCGGAUUUAUUGGGCGUAAAGGGCUCGUAGGUGGUUGAUCGCGUCGGAAGUGUAAUCUUGGGGCUUAACCCUGAGCGUGCUUUCGAUACGGGUUGACUUGAGGAAGGUAGGGGAGAAUGGAAUUCCUGGUGGAGCGGUGGAAUGCGCAGAUAUCAGGAGGAACACCAGUGGCGAAGGCGGUUCUCUGGGCCUUUCCUGACGCUGAGGAGCGAAAGCGUGGGGAGCGAACAGGCUUAGAUACCCUGGUAGUCCACGCUGUAAACGGUGGGUACUAGGUGUGGGGUCCAUUCCACGGGUUCCGUGCCGUAGCUAACGCUUUAAGUACCCCGCCUGGGGAGUACGGCCGCAAGGCUAAAACUCAAAGGAAUUGACGGGGCCCCGCACAAGCGGCGGAGCAUGCGGAUUAGUUCGAUGCAACGCGUAGAACCUUACCUGGGUUUGACAUGGAUCGGGAGUGCUCAGAGAUGGGUGUGCCUCUUUUGGGGUCGGUUCACAGGUGGUGCAUGGCUGUCGUCAGCUCGUGUCGUGAGAUGUUGGGUUAAGUCCCGCAACGAGCGCAACCCUUGUUCACUGUUGCCAGCACGUUAUGGUGGGGACUCAGUGGAGACCGCCGGGGUCAACUCGGAGGAAGGUGGGGAUGACGUCAAGUCAUCAUGCCCCUUAUGUCCAGGGCUUCACGCAUGCUACAAUGGCUGGUACAGAGAGUGGCGAGCCUGUGAGGGUGAGCGAAUCUCGGAAAGCCGGUCUCAGUUCGGAUUGGGGUCUGCAACUCGACCUCAUGAAGUCGGAGUCGCUAGUAAUCGCAGAUCAGCAACGCUGCGGUGAAUACGUUCCCGGGGCU